rnacentral:rRNA from 1 species
GGUUAACGGAGCGAAAGCGACGUUCAACCGCAAAACAAGCAGAGGGGGCUUAGUGGUGGGGUGACUGCGUACCUUUUGUAUAAUGGGUCAGCGACUUAUAUUCUGUAGCAAGGUUAACCGUAUAGGGGAGCCGGAGGGAAACCGAGUCUUAAUUGGGCGUUAAGUUGCAGGGUAUAGACCCGAAACCCGGUGAUCUAGCCAUGGGCAGGUUGAAGGUUGGGUAACACUAACUGGAGGACCGAACCGACUAAUGUUGAAAAAUUAGCGGAUGACCUGUGGCUGGGGGUGAAAGGCCAAUCAAACCGGGAGAUAGCUGGUUCUCCCCGAAAGCUAUUUAGGUAGCGCCUCGUGAAUUCAUCUCCGGGGGUAGAGCACUGUUUCGGCUAGGGGGCCAUCCCGGCUUACCAACCCGAUGCAAACUGCGAAUACCGGAGAAUGUUAUCACGGGAGACACACGGCGGGUGCUAACGUCCGUCGUGAAGAGGGAAACAACCCAGACCGCCAGCUAAGGUCCCAAAGUCAUGGUUAAGUGGGAAACGAUGUGGGAAGGCCCAGACAGCCAGGAUGUUGGCUUAGAAGCAGCCAUCAUUUAAAGAAAGCGUAAUAGCUCACUGGUCGAGUCGGCCUGCGC